rnacentral:rRNA from 1 species
UGGGGAAUUUUGGACAAUGGGGGCAACCCUGAUCCAGCCAUGCCGCGUGCGGGAAGAAGGCCUUCGGGUUGUAAACCGCUUUUGGUCGGGAAGAAAGGGUUUGGGUUAAUAACCUGGACUGUUGACGGUACCGGCAGAAUAAGCACCGGCUAACUACGUGCCAGCAGCCGCGGUAAUACGUAGGGUGCGAGCGUUAAUCGGAAUUACUGGGCGUAAAGCGUGCGCAGGCGGUGAGUUAAGUCUGAUGUGAAAGCCCCGGGCUCAACCUGGGAACGGCAUUGGAAACUGGCUUGCUAGAGUGUGGCAGAGGGGGGUGGAAUUCCGCGUGUAGCAGUGAAAUGCGUAGAGAUGCGGAGGAACACCGAUGGCGAAGGCAGCCCCCUGGGCCAACACUGACGCUCAGGCACGAAAGCGUGGGGAGCAAACA